UAAACAGUUGUAGAAGUACAUGCUGAUUGAUGCGCGGUUAGUAACAAAAAUAGCUUAUAAGUGAGCGGACGGUAAUGGUUUUGGUUCUGAGAAAAUUGCGUAAAUUAAAACAAACUUUAUUUUGUUUGGUAAUAUUACAUUGAUUUUGUGUAUCAGAGCCGUGCGCGGUGUGCUAAUUGUUAGUGGCAGUUAUUUACGUUUAAAUAAACCAAGAUCCUUAUAUACAUAAACAUGUAUAUAUUUUACCCAGCGGCAAUAAUUUUUUUUUAACGAAACCCAUUUUAUAAUUUAGAGCAUGUUGCAACUAAAAAAUGUAUGAUAUAUAAGAUUGAUAUGAUAUUUAUGGGCCAAAUGUUGCUAGAAAUUAUAUGUGUUAUUUCAACUGGAAUUGGGUAUUGCCUUUAUAAAGCGCAUAGAUAUACAGGAGCUAAAAAGUAAGGAUUAAGAUUAAUACUAGAAGAAACUAUUGAUUAUGAUUGAAGCGAUUUUGAAAUACUGUUGAUUGUUUAUUAACAAAGGUGCAUUCACAUUAAUAUAGAAUCAGUGACAAUCAAUAUACAAAUACAAAUAAACACUAGUGUGCAAAUUAUUAAUAUUAUGGAUGGAAUUUAACAUCAAUUGAUGAAUAAAAAGCUAUGUUUAAUGCGAAUAAGCAAAAAAAAAAAUCUAAAAAAAUGUAUUAAAUCAGCCUUGGCUGUUAACCGGAUGGAAAAUUUUAGGUUUAAACGAGCAAAAGCUUUUACAUAUAAAGAAUUGCUUUCAAUGGGCUGUGCGUCGUUACUCGGAUUAAUUUCUCUACGUUAAUCGUAUAUGGUAUUAUCUGAUAUAAAAAAUGUGAGCGCAAAUUUGUUUAAAUUUGACUGAACUAAAAUAUAUUUCCGAAGAAUUUAUUGCGCACGUAUUUAGUCGAAGACUACGAGUUUAAUUUUGAUACUUAAUAUCAGUUGUAAGUCUCUGCAUUUAAUUGAAAUUAAUUAUUUCAAUUCAAUUAAGAAAUGAAUAAACUGAAAAUAAAUAGACUCAAAAUAUUGCUUAAAAAAUUAAAAUGCUGUGAAUAAAAGCAGUUAACUGCUGCAGUGAGAUAUGCGCAUAGAAACGAGAAAUGCAUCAACGAAGUACAUAAGGGGAAUUUUUAAUGGAAAUGAUAAAAUUGUACAUGUAGAGUAUAAUAUAAACAACAAUAGCAGAUCAAUGUGGAUAUGGUGCCAACAGAUGUUAUCCAAAGAAUAUUCUUACCUUGACUCGAUUGUUACAGAAUCUGGAAAAAAACAGGUGAAUUUUGUAUAUAGAACUAAAAAAAAUAAUACCUAUGAACCGGCGGGAGACUUUAAAAGUAUGACAUUCUGUCUCACUUGUGAUAUGGAGUGAAGAUAUAUCGAACCUUAUAUUGAAGUAGUUUUAAUAAUUAACUUAUAAUGAUUAGAUGAUAUUUAUAAAAUAUUUUAGCAUUUUAAACUAUUUUAUAUUUUGUUAUGUAGAGUGAAAACAUAAAGAACCCUUGUUUUUGUUGCCAAUUUAUAAGAAUCGACAAGCCAUAAUUUACUCCUUAAAAACAAGCAAACUACACGCAAUGAACGCUUGUUGUCUGGUCGCAUGUAGUUGUAAGCGCCUGUUAUCAGCGCUGGCAAAAGUUCAAAAAUAAAAAUACGUGAUUUUAUCUGUGCCGACAGUUUCAUAUAUGUAUUCUUACUAAUGUGCAACUGCCGCCGACGUUUCUUAGCUUUACCUAGUUUUUUAGGUUAACUCGUGUUCAGUUUUUAUACUUGUCUAUAUUGCCAAAUAGUUUUAGAGCUCUGCCUUUGAUGAACUUCGGCUCAUACAGUAACUACUAUCCUUAAUGCUUUAUUCUGGAAUAUUAACAGGCUAUUGGUGCAGGAGAGAAAUGAUUUAUUUAUAUAUUAGUAUACAAUUAUUUGAGUGGUGAUUCUUUGAAAAUGUCAAUGGACUAGGGGAUUCAAGUUGUGGGCCGUAAUCUAACUUUUUCUGAUUUAUUUAAGAAAUUUAUGUAAAGUUUUUAUCAAAUUGUAAUUCUUAAGAACGAUCAAACAAUUCAAAUAAGGUUAAAGUAACCCUAUAUGUUAAACACCUAAACUAAUGUAACUAGUGUUACAUACUCAUUCAAAAGCUAAUAUUAUAUAUUUUAGUCUAUUUAUUUCUCCAAGUCCAUUUAGUCUUUUAGUUAUUAGUUAUUUAGUUAUAAGGAACUGAAGUGUUUUGUCUAGCAUCCAUAUUGUUCUUAGCAAAUUGGGACAAUCAAUUCUAAUAUGCUAGUAACCUGAUUAGGGUACAUAGUUAGUUUCUUCGCAAAGGCCAUAUAGCA